rnacentral:lncRNA from 1 species
UUGAUCUGGCGAGCUUUUAUUUCCGUGACCAAAAGAAUGCAGUUAAUGGAAUUUAUGACUAACAUUCAGGCAUGCACCUCUACCUGAAUCUGUUGUUAGUUUUAAACUGGCCUAAGUCGUUAUUUCUUUAGGCACAUCUGUGAAUGUUUUGUAUCCUGAUAUACGAAGUAAGUUAACUUCUUCCUGUGGCUGUCUGGUGAUAAGAAUAAUGUUCAUGAACUAGGUUCCUAUAUGACUAAAGCCCUUUGGAUUCUCACGCUUCCUGUUCUACCUUGAGACCGUAUUUUCAAUUUGACAUUUAAGUAAGUCACAGUAUAGGGCAGAGGGACAAUCUAAGAAGGUGGAUUAUAUGAAUCCUCCAUAGGACUUUUUUUCAGCUCUAAGUCAAACUGUGAGAAAGCUCACAGUUCAUCAGUGCCAGGGUAUUUCCCCACUGCCAAUUUUUCUGCCAUAAAGCUCUCCCUAAAAAAAUUCAGAUAUAAACCCAUACAAAUCGAGAUUCCCCCUACGUGGUCCCACUAUCCAAUUCUAGAAAGCAGUUCCACUGUCCAAAUUCUAUAAAGUAGUUAAUAAGGGACCUUGAGAAAGCGCCGUCCCAAUACACAGCAAUACGCGUCUCAUACUUCCAUUUAUCUAAAUUAUUACCACACAGUUAGCUUAAAAAACACAACCAAAUACACGUGACUCUCAACUCCCAUACAUAAAAAUUGGUCUUUGUUCAUUCUCAGGUGACAAUAUGUCCCAAGAUGAUGAAGAGAAUUGGGAGUUAAUCCCCCCAUAGCCAUUUCUUUAACCGACUCAGCAGCAGCUCUUCCCUUCUUGAACUACUUUUCCAAAGAGGUAAUGCUGAGAUCAGUCAGAAAGGCUUUCUGAGAAGACAGGUUUGGACUUCUGGGUCUGCUCCAGUCGAUUUAAGAUGAACUGGCUUGUAUCAAUGAAGCGUUCAACGCAGUUCACAAAACAGGCCUCAGCCCGAUAGGCACAGCGUCCGGAUUUGAGCCCUGAGCUCCUCACCCAGCAAAGUUCCGUCAUCUGGUGCACCAGCUGCUGGAAGCGCUGCUUCUGUGUCUCCACCUCGAUGAAAUGCUGCAGCUGAGGGUCCACGGCGGCCAAAGCCGAGCCCGAAGAGGACGAGGAGGACUCCAUCCCGGCACGACCACGCGGGCCGAAGCGAGC